AUGUCAGGCCUCUUUUUUCCAGUGGAACAAAACCUGCAGUCCGGAGAUAAACAUCAGAACCAGAAACUCCCCAUGAAGCCUGGUGAAGGACAGCGUGAUGUCAUCAGUGACACAAACAUCGGAUUGACUCACUUCCUGUGGAUCCACCCGCCCAUCUGUCUGUCAGUCCAUCUAUUAUAUAUCUAUCUAUCUAUCAUAUAUCUAUCUAUCGAUCAUAUAUCUAUCUAUCAUAUAUCUAUCUAUCGAUCAUAUAUCUAUCUAUCUAUCAUAUAUCUAUCUAUCAUAUCUAUCGAUCAUAUAUCUAUCUAUCAAAUAUCUAUCUAUCAUAUCUAUCAUAUAUCUAUCUAUCAUAUAUCUACAUCUAUCAUAUAUCGAUCAUAUAUCUAUCUAUCAUAUAUAUAUCGAUCAUAUAUCUAUCUAUCAUAUAUCUAUCUAUCGAUCAUAUAUCUAUCUAUCAUAUAUCUAUCUAUCAUAUAUCUAUCGUUCAUAUAUCUAUCUAUCAUAUAUCUAUCGAUCAUAUAUCUAUCUAUCUAUCAUAUAUCUAUCUAUCAUAUAUCUAUCGAUUAUAUAUCUAUCUAUCAUAUAUCUAUCAUAUCUAUCUAUCAUAUCUAUCAUAUAUCUAUCUAUCAUAUAUCGAUCAUAUAUCUAUCUACCAUAUAUAUAUAUAUAUCGAUCAUAUAUCUAUCUAUCAUAUAUCUAUCUAUCAUGUAUCUAUCAUAUCUAUCUAUCAUAUCUAUCAUAUCUAUCAUAUAUCUAUCUAUCAUAUAUCUAUCGAUCAUAUAUCUAUCGAUCAUAUAUCUAUCAUAUCUAUCUAUCAUAUAUCUAUCAUAUCUAUCUAUCAUAUAUAUAUCUAUGAUCAUAUAUCUAUCAUAUAUCAUAUAUCUAUCUAUCAUAUCUAUCGAUCAUAUAUCUAUCUAUCAUAUAUCUAUCUAUCUAUCAUAUCUAUCGAUCAUAUAUCUAUCUAUCAUAUAUCAUAUCUAUCUAUCAUAUAUAUAUCUAUGA
ensembl:lncRNA